rnacentral:rRNA from 1 species
UCAGCAGCCGCGGUAAUACAGAGGUCUCAAGCGUUGUUCGGAUUCAUUGGGCGUAAAGGGUGCGUAGGUGGCGUGGAAAGUUGAGUGUGAAAUCCUAGGGCUUAACCUUAGAACUGCACUCAAUACUCCCAUGCUAGAGGAAUGUAGAGGAGAGUGGAAUUCACGGUGUAGCAGUGAAAUGCGUAGAUAUCGUGAGGAAGACCAGUUGCGAAGGCGACUCUCUGGGCAUCUCCUGACACUGAGGCACGAAGGCUAGGGGAGCAAACGGGAUUAGAUACCCCGGUAGUCCUAGCAGUAAACGGUGCACGUUUGGUGUGGGCAGGCUCAGACCCUGUCCGUGCCGGAGCUAACGCGUUAAACGUGCCGCCUGGGAAGUACGGUCGCAAGAUUAAAACUCAAAGGAAUUGACGG